CCGUACACAAAAGCGCAUGUGCUGUGAGCUCGAUGAGUAGGGCGGGACACGUGGUAUCCUGUCUGAAUAUGGGGGGACCAUCCUCCAAGGCUAAAUACUCCUGACUGACCGAUAGUGAACCAGUACCGUGAGGGAAAGGCGAAAAGAACCCCGGCGAGGGGAGUGAAAAAGAACCUGAAACCGUGUACGUACAAGCAGUGGGAGCACCCUUCGGGGUGUGACUGCGUACCUUUUGUAUAAUGGGUCAGCGACUUAUAUUCUGUAGCAAGGUUAACCGUAUAGGGGAGCCGUAGGGAAACCGAGUCUUAACCGGGCGUUAAGUUGCAGGGUAUAGACCCGAAACCCGGUGAUCUAGCCAUGGGCAGGUUGAAGGUUGGGUAACACUAACUGGAGGACCGAACCGACUAAUGUUGAAAAAUUAGCGGAUGACCUGUGGCUGGGGGUGAAAGGCCAAUCAAACCGGGAGAUAGCUGGUUCUCCCCGAAAGCUAUUUAGGUAGCGCCUCGUGAAUUCAUCUCCGGGGGUAGAGCACUGUUUCGGCUAGGGGGCCAUCCCGGCUUACCAACCCGAUGCAAACUGCGAAUACCGGAGAAUGUUAUCACGGGAGACACACGGCGGGUGCUAACGUCCGUCGUGAAGAGGGAAACAACCCAGACCGCCAGCUAAGGUCCCAAAGUCAUGGUUAAGUGGGAAACGAUGUGGGAAGGCCCAGACAGCCAGGAUGUUGGCUUAGAAGCAGCCAUCAUUUAAAGAAAGCGUAAUAGCUCACUGGUCGAGUCGGCCUGCGCGGAAGAUGUAACGGGGCUAAACCAUGCACCGAAGCUGCGGCAGCGAACGUAUCACCCAAGACAACUUUACGGAGUUGACGAUUGACGGAGCGAAGCGACGUCAAAGCGUUCAUUAAAGUCGAGUUGGCUUAGGGAUACGUUCGUUGGGUAGGGGAGCGUUCUGUAAGCCUGUGAAGGUGUGUCGUGAGGCAUGCUGGAGGUAUCAGAAGUGCGAAUGCUGACAUAAGUAACGAUAAAGCGGGUGAAAAGCCCGCUCGCCGGAAGACCAAGGGUUCCUGUCCAACGUUAAUCGGGGCAGGGUGAGUCGACCCCUAAGGCGAGGCCGAAAGGCGUAGUCGAUGGGAAACGGGUUAAUAUUCCCGUACUUGGUGUUACUGCGAAGGGGGGACGGAGAAGGCUAUGUUGGCCGGGCGACGGUUGUCCCGGUUUAAGCGUGUAGGUGUGUGUUCCAGGUAAAUCCGGUUCACUUUAACACUGAGGCGUGACGACGAGGCACUACGGUGCUGAAGCAACAAAUGCCCUGCUUCCAGGAAAAGCCUCUAAGCAUCAGGUAACACGAAAUCGUACCCCAAACCGACACAGGUGGUCAGGUAGAGAAUACCAAGGCGCUUGAGAGAACUCGGGUGAAGGAACUAGGCAAAAUGGUGCCGUAACUUCGGGAGAAGGCACGCUGACACGUAGGUGAAGUGAUUUACUCAUGGAGCUGAAGUCAGUCGAAGAUACCAGCUGGCUGCAACUGUUUAUUAAAAACACAGCACUGUGCAAACACGAAAGUGGACGUAUACGGUGUGACGCCUGCCCGGUGCCGGAAGGUUAAUUGAUGGGGUCAGCGCAAGCGAAGCUCCUGAUCGAAGCCCCGGUAAACGGCGGCCGUAACUAUAACGGUCCUAAGGUAGCGAAAUUCCUUGUCGGGUAAGUUCCGACCUGCACGAAUGGCGUAAUGAUGGCCAGGCUGUCUCCACCCGAGACUCAGUGAAAUUGAACUCGCUGUGAAGAUGCAGUGUACCCGCGGCAAGACGGAAAGACCCCGUGAACCUUUACUAUAGCUUGACACUGAACAUUGAGCCUUGAUGUGUAGGAUAGGUGGGAGGCUUUGAAGUGUGGACGCCAGUCUGCAUGGAGCCGACCUUGAAAUACCACCCUUUAAUGUUUGAUGUUCUAACGUGGACCCGUAAUCCGGGUUGCGGACAGUGUCUGGUGGGUAGUUUGACUGGGGCGGUCUCCUCCUAAAGAGUAACGGAGGAGCACGAAGGUUGGCUAAUCCUGGUCGGACAUCAGGAGGUUAGUGCAAUGGCAUAAGCCAGCUUGACUGCGAGCGUGACGGCGCGAGCAGGUGCGAAAGCAGGUCAUAGUGAUCCGGUGGUUCUGAAUGGAAGGGCCAUCGCUCAACGGAUAAAAGGUACUCCGGGGAUAACAGGCUGAUACCGCCCAAGAGUUCAUAUCGACGGCGGUGUUUGGCACCUCGAUGUCGGCUCAUCACAUCCUGGGGCUGAAGUAGGUCCCAAGGGUAUGGCUGUUCGCCAUUUAAAGUGGUACGCGAGCUGGGUUUAGAACGUCGUGAGACAGUUCGGUCCCUAUCUGCCGUGGGCGCUGGAGAACUGAGGGGGGCUGCUCCUAGUACGAGAGGACCGGAGUGGACGCAUCACUGGUGUUCGGGUUGUCAUGCCAAUGGCACUGCCCGGUAGCUAAAUGCGGAAGAGAUAAGUGCUGAAAGCAUCUAAGCACGAAACUUGCCCCGAGAUGAGUUCUCCCUGAGACUUAGAGUCUCCUGAAGGAACGUUGAAGACGACGACGUUGAUAGGCC
rnacentral:rRNA from 1 species